UUGGCGCUGAUGUUUGCAGGUUUGUACAUGUUAGUACUGCAAAAGAAUAAAAAGGGUUUGUGUACAGAAUGGAAAAUACUUUUUAAGUGCUAGUGUCUUCUGUUGGAGCAGGUGUCUGUUUCACACUGUUUAAAUACACUCAUUCUGCAUAAGAACAGCCCUAACUGCUGUUUCAGUUUCAGUUGCUGCUCUUGGUUCUCAUUUUACUUCCUGUUUGUUUCUGAGGCUGCCCUGGAUGACUGUUCCGUUGCCUUGACAACGGCCGACCACAUGUAAUUAGUCAUAGUAAAGAGUCUGUCUUUCAGUACAGUGUAUCUACUGUGUUUUUCUCCCCUUGAUAAAAUGCUGUCUCCAGAAAUGUUCACUCACUCUGCAUUGGGCUGUAAUGGUCUGGACCACCGUGAGUCCACACCACCUCAAAAAGUCUCUCUUCUUUGAGUUACCCUCGAAUAUGAUUUUUCCAAAUAUCAAAAGAAAAAAAUGCAAUAGCCUCUUAAAAAAUGUCUGAAAUUGAUUUAUUGUGUAUUCCUUGAAAUAUUUUGAAUUAAGUUUUGUAUUAUUUUGAAAGGGUCUACAUCUGUAAAAGUACGAAAGGAGAUAAAGUGAGGUCCGCCUGCAGUAAUGCAUCAAUGAUGCCAUCUAGUGUUUAAAAAGAGGACUUCAACCUCAGUUCUUUGUGGAUUUUAGUUUUUUUUUUGUCUCUAACAAGUGUUUGUCAAACCAGAUGUCACAUUUUCAAAACCCUAAACACAAUUAGCACAGCAUCGGUCUUUUGUGGCCAUACCAUUCACACAUUUCAUGUCAUUUUCACACAAUAUGCAGUCAGUGAACACAUUUCCACAAUGCUUACAUUUUCUUAACAGACAAGCCAUACCUCCCAACGGAAAUAUGGAUUGUUUUUGUAUGGAUUGUUUACGAAUGUUAACACAUAACAUCCCACAACAGCAAAAACAAUAUUCCAAACCUUAGAUACACAAUAAAUACCUCUGCUUCUGCAAUGAUACCAGUUCAAAAACAAUAUAUCUCUUCUGAUAAUAUACAAACAAUUGAAUAACUGACACAGCUGAUCUAUGUUGGGUAAAUUGGUGACUUUAUGGUGGUCUUUUUUUUUUUUAAACAUCUUUAUUGAUGCUAUCUCUCUCUCAAGGACAAGGAGGUUGAUUAUACGUCUAAAUUUAGACUAGACGUCUAGUCUUAAUUUGGUAUAA